AAAAUUUUGUCAUGUGCACAAGUGAACACAUGGACUGUUCUGAAGACCAUGAUGCAAGAAUGAAUGAACAAAAUGAUUUUGUAGGAUGCUCAAUAUAGCAGUGG
rnacentral:lncRNA from 1 species